UACGUAGGGUCCAAGCGUUAUCCGGAAUCACUGGGCGUAAAGCGUGUGUAGGCGGGUAUUUAAGUGAGAUGCGAAAUCCGGUGGCUCAACCAUUUGGACUGUAUCUCAUACUGGAUACCUAGAGGAAGUGAGAGGCAAGUGGAAUUGCUCGUGUAGCAGUGAAAUGCGUAGAUAUGAGCAGGAACACCAAUGGCGAAGGCAGCUUGCUGGCACUUUUCUGACGCUGAGACACGAAAGCGUGGGGAGCGAACAGG
rnacentral:rRNA from 1 species